GGGGGGGCAAGCGUUGUUCGGAAUUACUGGGCGUAAAGGGCUCGUAGGCGGCCAACUAAGUCGGGCGUGAAAUCCCUCGGCUUAACCGGGGAACUGCGUCCGAUACUGGAUGGCUUGAGUUUGGGAGAGGGAUGCGGAAUUCCAGGUGUAGCGGUGAAAUGCGUAGAUAUCUGGAGGAACACCGGUGGCGAAGGCGGCAUCCUGGACCAACACUGACGCUGAGGAGCGAAAGCCAGGGGAGCAAACGGGAUUAGAUACCCCGGUAGUCCUGGCCCUAAACGGUGAAUGCUUGGUGUGACGGGUAUCGAUCCCUGUCGUGCCGAAGCUAACGCAAUAAGCAUUCCGCCUGGGGAGUACGGUCGCAAGGCUG
rnacentral:rRNA from 1 species